CAGCAGCCGCGGUAAUACGAAGGGUGCAAGCGUUAAUCGGAAUUACUGGGCGUAAAGCGUGCGUAGGCGGUGAGUUAAGUCUGCUGUGAAAUCCCCGGGCUCAACCUGGGAAUGGCAGUGGAUACUGGCUCGCUAGAGUGUGUCAGAGGAUGGUGGAAUUCCCGGUGUAGCGGUGAAAUGCGUAGAGAUCGGAAGGAACAUCUGUGGCGAAGGCGACUAUCUGGGCCAACACUGACACUGAGGCACGAAAGCGUGGGGAGCAAACAGGAUUAGAUACCCCGGUAGUCCCUGUCUCUUAUAC
rnacentral:rRNA from 1 species